GCAGCAGGCCCGAGGCUUACGGGGACUGGUCCGACUGGAGGAGGCCGAGGUGCCUGUGGAUUUUGAAAAACUUUUCAAAUCUUUUAAAUGAAAUAUUAAAAUGUAAGUAUAAAAAGAUUGAUUUAACCCUUGCAUGCUUUAAAUAUAAACUUUAUAUAUAGGAUGAAAAUGUGAUUCUAUAUCUUGUGAAGUAAAGUCUAAAUGGCCCCUGCACUCCUAUGAAAAGCACCAUUGAAUCCCGUGAAAAUAAACGCAGAAGAUUUGCCAAAGAUUAUUUUUUGGGAGUCCAUUAGUACUUAUUUUAAUGCACGAAAUAAUUGAAGAGUACCAUAAAGUGAUAAAACUGUCAUUACUGCAGGAGCCUGAGGCCAAGGCUUAUGCAAAUUCAGGGCAACAUAAAUUGGGAGCACCACCAGCUGCUACAUGACCACUGGGAGCUGAAUAAGAGAAGGAGUAGUGAUAGGUAUAGAGAAAAAUGAGAGAAAUUUACUUUCUCUCUCUCUACCCACCUACUCUCCCUCUUCCCUUUUCUUCUUUAUUUUUCUCAUUUUUUUCUCAUCUUUUUCUACACCAAGUAUUUUCCUAAGAUAAGAAGAGACCAUAGCUUUAAUUCUCAAUAAUGGAAGGGUUAAAUUUUGAGGGGACUUCGUAGUAGACAUUACCCCUCAAUAAAAGUAUACAGCUGAGAUAAAACAACAACAUAAAAAUAAAAAUAAAGCAUCAUGUUAACAGAAGUUGCAGCUUGAAUAUAUACUAUAGUCAAAUUUAAUUUUUUGAAAUGGAGCAAAAAUCUUGUUGGGGUCUGAAGUUCAGUCUAAUGCUUACGGCCACACACACAGAAGACUCAAGCUCUUCAACCUUAAGAAUGAGACUAAGAAAUGACUAAUACUAAACUAAGGAGUGGUUUAAUUUACACAAAAGCAAAGAAAAUUUUCUUCCUACUUUAUAUCAUAAGGUAUUAAUAUUUACUGUUUUUUUUUUGUAUGAAUCAAUGAUUUAAUAUACAUGUCCGUUUGUUAAGCUUGUAUCAUCUUUUCGGAUUGCUUAAUUGUCAAUCAUGAAAUCAAAUGUUGUGAAUAAUCUUUCCAUACCACACAAAUUUUAGUACAUGAGUAAGAACAAACACAAUAUCCUAUGACGAUGUUGUAAACUUCUUGUCAAGAUUCUUGUAUGGACAAAUAAUAUUUUUUGUGAUUUUCUGGUCAUGAAUUGUCAUUUUAACCAUCAGCAUCUCUUGCGUGUCUUGAGACAAAACGUCAAAAGAAAAUGAAAUAAGACAAAAUGUGGAAUCCACUCGAAGAUUUUGAAUCUAGAGGUAAAGAACGUCAAACAAAAAUAUAAUUUUAUUAUUGAAAGAGAUUAUUAAAAUGCACACGAAUCCUCCUCAUUAAAUAAGUAAAUACAUUCCUCCAUGUAAAUCGAAAUAUGAAAAAUAAAUCACGCUUCGAUAAAAUAUUAAAUAUUUCUCUAACAAGUAAAGAGGUAAAAAUUAAAAAGCAUUUUUAAAUUUUUGUAAUUUUAUUUUGUCCAAUAUCACUUAGCUAGCGUAUUUUACUGUAACUAAAUGUUUAAAUAUAAAUAAUAUGCUUGUUUAUUAAAGGAUCGCUAUAUCACUCAUCCAAUUUAUUCGAAUGAGGUGCCUUCACAUAUGCUUUAAAUAAAUUUAUAUAAUAAUUUAUUUUUUAGUUUAUGGAAAAUUAUCAACUACUUCAUGACAUGUCAGUUCGUCUGGGAUGAAGAGAAAAAUUUGGAGAUAUAUACUUGCUGUUUCAUUUUCUUUAUAAAUAAAUGAAAAGUAUUUUUUUUUAAAUUAUUUUUACAUAACAAUCCUUAUCAGUGCCAUUAAGAAAGAAAGAUAAAGUCGUAAAAAAUGAUGGUUUAAUAUAGAAGUAGAUAUUAUAUGGGAGAAGUUCUACUUUUAGGUGGCCUCUCUGUGUUAAGAUUGGUUGAAAUAAGUAGUAACUAUAUAAGAAUUAAUAAUUUAAUAAUUUAAUUUUAAUCAUAAAUUAAGAUACCUAGAAUGUACAUGUAGAAUUUACAACUCAAAUCAAUAUAUAAAAUGUACACAUAGUACAUGAUUUUAAAAAAUUCAUAAUUAAGAUCGCCAUUGAAUUUAAAUUCUUCCCUCUUAAGUAUUCAUGUUUUUUUCUUAAGAAUUUAAAUCUAUUUUAAGAAGUGUAGGAAAAUGUAAACCUUAGAUAAAUUAAUUAUCCUAGUUAAUUAAUUCAUUAAUUCUCAAAUCACUGUUAACAUAUUGAUAUUCGUACAAUAUUGUUUAUGAUUCGCUAUUCAUAUGACAAUAUUCACGAGUUACUGUCCACAAUUAUUGUUCAUCAUAACUAUUUAUAAUAUUGUUCAUUUUACUGUUUAUUCAAAUUAAAUCUAUCAAAUAUGCUAGAAACAGUAAAUUGCAGAAAGUAAAACAUAUAGAGGAUUGUACGUUGUUCAAAUCAUAAUGUUAUACAUAGGAGACCAUGCCCAGACAUUAAUCAAUUCACAAGUAAUGAAAAAUUGCAACUUAUUGGAAUGUUACAUAAUUGCAAACUCCAUUUUAUUCUUGUUGUCACUCUGUUCAAUUUAAUUUAAUCGACCUUAUUUAAUGAGCACCACUCAUCUUCAAUUAUAUUCACUAGUUCCUUGAGAUCCUUUUAAUAAAAACAAACAAAUCCUUCAACCCAAAGAGACAAAAAAAAUCAAAAAUCAAAAAAUGUCUAAUGAAGGACUUGAUAUGAAGAAGACUCAAAGAUUAAAAUUUCAUAGGGAUAUGAAACAUCAUAUGCAGGUAAGAUAGACUUUCUUCUCUGCUAUAAAAUAUGAUAUGUCUUCUUCAAUCUUUAAUGUGUGAAAAACUUCCGUUUAUUUAGAUGUAGUAUUUCAAUCAUACCCCAGUAGAGGAGUAAUAGGAUAUAUUUUCUCAAGAGCCCAAAAUUCUCUAAGUUCUUGAUAUAUUUACCAAUGUAGUAUUCAUUUUUAUUUGGAAUGCUUUGAUAUGAAAUCUUGUAUACACUCCAAUUUACUUCUUUAUGCCUCCAAAAAUAUUCUUCAAUAUUCCACAUAAUCUAAUCUAAUAAAUACUCAAUACUAAAUAAAUGCCAAAUAUAAGGAAUAAUAAGUAACAAUAUUAUUGAUAUGAUGACAAUAAUAAAAACCCUAAUAUUUUAUUUUCAAAAUCCAAAUAGGACAACUCUUUACGCAAAAAGUUACUAAAAAUAUAGUUAAAUUACUUUUGUAAUUUGUAGAGAUGGCCAACUGGGCGGGCAGCACGUGAUAUAGUAUGAAUAGGGCAUGUAUUCGUACAACAUGGCACAACAUGAGUACGUUUUGAUAGGACACCUGACAGGGAAGAUGCAUAAACGGUUUGCACUAGACUGAGAAUUUUAGGUAAGUGAGCCUCAAAAGUACGACACAGUUAGAGAUAAACUAAAAUAUGCAUGUGAAAAGGCUUGCAAUUAGCACACUUCAUUGGUGGGCUAAUGCACAAUCCAUGGGCCAUCAACAGUAUGCGGGUCAAAGUAUAUCAAAGUCAAAUUUUUUAAUGAAAAGUAAAAAAAAAAUGUUAUGACUUUACAAAUGACUUAAAAUUGAAUCUUUUAAUAUAUUUUGUUAGUGUAGGUUUUUUUAAAUUAAUUUAAAUCUUAGUUUCAAAAAAAAGUAUUUUAAUUAUUUUAUUUUUAUAAUUUUUUAAAUAAAUAAGUGAUAUCAUGAUUUUAAUAUAUAAAAUUAUAAAUAUUAUAAUUUUAUAAAUGAUAAAUCCAAACUGUUUAGAACUGUAAUAUUUCAUUUAUGAAAUCAUAAAUUAAUUAAAGGAGAUAUGUUUCAUUUCUAAAUGAAAUACUUUUCACGUUUACACACAAAAAAAUAAAUUAUGAACGAUUAAAAGUUGCAUUUUCAUUCAAUGGAAAUUUAGUGUAGUUUGCAUUACUACAGUUAAACAAUACAUCCCAACUAGGUUGUUAUAGUUGAUAUCUCAUAGUUGUAAUAUCUUGUAAUCGUCAUUUUAGGAUUGUAAUUUUAAUUUUUAAUUAAUCAUUACCAUGGUCUACAAAAUUAAAUUUAUGUAUCAUUGUAUUAUAAUUAGUUAUUGCAAAACUAGAUGAUAUAAUUGUGUAAUUGUGUUAAUGAUAUGUUAAUUAUGAUAUUUUAAUUUAAAACUUCCAAGCAUUAAUGUUAUUAUAGACUAUCAUUUAUGAUUCCAUGUAAUUUCAAAUUAAUAAUUUAAUGUUAACCCUUAAGAAAUAUUUUAUUAUUAUUAUUAUCAUCAUCAUCAACAUCAUCAUCAUCAUCAUCACUACUACUACUUUUAGGCCGUGUUUACUUGCUGGAGUGAGAGUGAAAAGUGUGGAUUCCUCCCACUCUAGCGUUUACUUCCUCAAAAUGGGAAGGGAUUGGGAAUCCCACUCCGUGGGCCCCACCCAUUUUUGGAGUGGGGAGUGGGAGUGGGAAUCCACUCCCACCUCUCCCUUUUUUACCCUUUUAUU
rnacentral:lncRNA from 1 species